rnacentral:rRNA from 1 species
UACGGAGGGUGCGAGCGUUGUCCGGAAUCACUGGGCGUAAAGGGCGCGUAGGUGGCGGAGCAAGUCAACGGUGAAAGCUCGACGCUCAACGUCGAGUCGGCCGUCGAGACUGCUUUGCUCGAGCACUGUAGAGGCAGAUGGAAUUCCGGGUGUAGCGGUGGAAUGCGUAGAGAUCCGGAAGAACACCGGUGGCGAAGGCGGUCUGCUGG